AUUCAGGCGUCAGGGGGUGUGACUCCGGUGGGAGGGCGCGUUGCAAAGGGGAGGAGGGUCGCUGCAGGGACUCGAUCUAAUAUGGAGCCUUUCGUGCAGUUCUGCAACACUUGUAAACCUCGAGAAGCCUCAAAGACAGAAAGGAGCCAGAGAGAGCUGAAGAAUCAGUGUCACAAAUGAAAUGAUCUCAUUUCUGCCUCUUGAGCCAAUAAUUCAAGCAGAGAUUACCCUUAACACAAGAGAACAAACCCAGGUACAAGUCAUCCUAGGUUGCUUUCUUCCAGUGCCUUCUGUAACAGUGAAUUUUCUCCUUUCCACGCCCUAACUUCCUGCAAUCAAAAUGGACAGUUCUGAGUCAAGUACAAGAAAAUGAAAAAGAAAGGAUUCUUCGCUGCUAGCAAAGCUCAUCUUUUUUGCUUUACGCCUUUUCAACAGCAUAUUUAACAGCAGCUUCAAUUACCUAAUAUAUGUAUAACCCAUGUUAAAUGUUCUAUGAAGAACAGUUAGUCUUUAGAACUGUGAAAGUUAGGAAAGCGUCAGAAGCAAGAAGGAAACAGAUGUAGCUUGCAGCGAGAUGGGUCUAGAAUUCUCUCAUCUGAAAAACCAUUCAAUUCCAUUCCUAAAGAGAAGUUGCGAUCCUCUGCGCACUUACUUGGAAGUAAGUCCCAUUAAAUUCAAAGGGUUUUACUUUUAAGUAAAUGUAUCUAGAACUGCCUUCAUAUUAUGAAAUAGAUAAACUAAUCUAUGUGUUUUGCAUAAAUUUAUCUGAUCCUCUAACUGAAAUAUCACUAUUUUCCAGAAUGUCAUUAAUUAUGACAUGGAUUAGAGGAGAGAGAAAGGAAAACCCCAACCUACCCACUUUUGGUGAAAUUCCUCACCUGAUUCAGGAUUUCUUCCACAAUUAUAAGAACUAAAAAAACCUGAAUUUUAUUUUGCAUUAAUAUUUUUAGGAUUCUAACAAUGUUAGCAGAUUCUGAGGUGGAAAAAUAAACAGAUGAACAGAAAGUCUGGAUAGAGCUGCAUUAUCUCAGGAAGAUGCAAAGUUAGGCAAAAAGUUGCCCCAUCUAGAAAGGUGUGAAGUCAAGAAGAGGAAAGUUAAAGUGCCCUUUCACCACCUGGGUUUGAGAUACCUUCUCGUGCUCCUGUUUGCUCAGGGUAAGCGCUAUCUGUAACUGCAAAUCUUCAUCUGUACUGGACACUGGAGGAAGAGGCUGCUGACAAUGAAGGAGAAUUGGGUGAAGGUUUGCUCCAGGGUUCUGCAUUUAAUCUUUCAUUCUGACUUCCAACCUUCCCUUCUCUUUGUGAUCAAAUAGCAACAGGCACUGAAUCCAGUCUCACACCCAUCUUCUGUUCUUGCCCAUUAAGCAACACACACGUGACAAUGUCACCAAGUCAGUUAAGCCAUUCAUCUUGUUUCUCUUGUUUUUGUGGCUAUCCACCCACACGUAGUUUUUCUUCUUCAUCUGAGAUUGUACCCUUCUAUUCUGAGGUGAGACACUGGCCGAUUCCAUACAAAGCAAAUAUAAUGGGUGCGGGAUGGUAUAUGAUAUAACCUAUUUUGGGAGUGACUUCACACAGGUCCCACCCCCCCAAAAAAAGUCUGCCCCAAUUUAUUUCCCUCAACCCAGGAUUUUCAAAAAUCGCUAAACCAGCAA